UGUUCUGUGGCUUAGUUGAUUAAAGCGUCGGUCUUUUGAAUACGGAGUCGUGGGGUCGAAUCCCACGAGAACGC
rfam:Aedes albopictus isolate Foshan contig105031, whole genome shotgun sequence.